AAUUUAAGUAUUUGUCACUCUUGUGACAUAGUAAUUAACGAUUUGCCACAUCGUAUCUAUAACAUGUGGAUUCUCAUGUGUUAUAACAUAUGGAACUAGUGGCAAAUCAUACGAGUGGCUUACGAGUGGCAAAUAGUUAAAAUCCCCCAUUCUCUCCACCGCGUCAUGGCCUGCGACGGCGCCGCCGUUCCCCUUUCAUCUCGACCUCGGGCACGCAGCUCGCGUCACUCGCCGUCGUCGCUUCCCAGCGAGGCCAUCCACGGCCACCGUCGCUUCUUCCCGGAGACCGCCGCCAUCUCCCCACCCCCGCGUGACACCACUUCUUGCCCUCUCCAUCUAGGGUUUUCUCGGGCCUCGAAUCGCUAAAGCAUGUUCCGCUGCCACGGAGGACAGGGAUGCCCCUGUGCUUCUAUUAUCUCCACCAAGGAGGCUGUUGCAUUCCAGAUCUCCCUGUCGGGCAAGCUCGGGAGGACGCUACAUUGAGCCAUGAUGACUGCAAUACUUCUAGGCCUUGAGAAGAGGAUUUGGACCACUGGUGGUUCUGACCAAGAUUUAACGGUAUGUGUUUUUCUGUAUGUUUUCUUCCUUGUAGUGUCUAUUCCCUUCCCCACGUCCUGAUGAUUACUUGCUCAAGCUGUUUGAUUAUUGUUGCAGCAGUUACACCUUCAGUUGACCACUCAACCAAGGUAUCGAUCAGUUUUGGUCCAAAACAUAUGUUUAUUCUCAUGCAUCGAUUUGCAAUGACCAAAUCUAUGCUUCGAUCUUUUAAUUUGCUACAGUUUUCCCUGCUUCUCUAAUCAGUACCAUUACAGAUUUGUCUCUGUGACUGCUUACUGUACUUUCAAAUUGCUUUACAGUGCAUGCACAAGUCUGUUGCCUAUUUUAGUACUAGCCAAUAUAUAGAUGUUCCCAACGAACAUGGUAAAAAUAUUCUCUGCAAUUCUUUGCUUCUAUAGAUUCUCAUGCAUACGAUAUCUGAUCGAUAUCCAUGAAUCCAUCCUUCUUUUGCAUGGUUUUCAUUUUCAGAACAUUUCAGCUUUCGGUAUAUGAAGCUCAAGAAUGAAGUGACCGUUGUCUGGCUUGCAACCUUUCCAGGGUACAAAUCAAUCAGUUUGGAUAUGGAACACGCAUUGUACGGGUUGCUGCUUAUAGGUUGUUUGGAUAUCACUUAAUGGAUCAAACAAGCUUGUCAUGUUUGUUUAUAUGCAGGUGCUAUUUGGAAUUAAGUGCAGUGGUUGUACGGGUUAAUUCAAACAUAUGUAUGUCUAGAUUCGUAGUACUAGAAUGUAUCACAUCCGGUAGUAGAUUAUUUUUUUAUAGGACAGAAGGAGUAGAGUUCAGAGAAAGUGGCUAGCAAGUAGGCCCCACAUUUUUUAUAUUUUUUCCUAGGCACUUAAAUGUGGGCUUUACCUGUAUUUGUGACUGGGUUGCUCCAUCAUCACAAAGUUGACUAAGUCAAAAGGUCACGUUAACAAAACCA